rnacentral:lncRNA from 1 species
GGAUCUUUCUGGAAAGUUUUUAAUUAGAACCUGGAAAAUCCACCGCAGAGAGGGCGUGGCCUGGAUUGGCCCCUCCCCCGGAGUGUCCCCGCCCCCAGGGGCGGUGCCCGGGGCGGGGCUACAGCAGGACAAAAGGGGGGGCGGAGGGGACGCCCCACCCCCACCCCGGAGCCACCCCCGGCGGCAGCAGCGCCCCCGCCCCUCCCCCACCCCGGGGCCUCCCUGAGUGCGGGGGGAGGGGCAGCCCUGUCCCGGGGGGGGAGGGGCGGGGGACACCGGGAUCCCCACGGGGGGAGGGGGCACCCCAACCCCCCCCCUAAGGCCACCCGGGGGCCCUGGGGGAGCCCCCGACUGUCCCCAUGUCCCCCAUAAGGCUCAGCGACACCCAGCACGUCCCCGGGGGCCACCCAGGAUGUCCCCACGUCCCCUCCAGGCCCAGGGCUCCUCAGAAGGGCCUCGGGCCACCCCUCUGUCCCCAGAGGCCCCUGGGCCACCCACGUGUGUCCACGGCCUCAGCUGGGCCCCGUUCCCCUCCCACAGGAGCCCCCCGGGUCCCAGGGUCCCCACGACACCCUGGCCCUCAUCCCCAGAGGCAAUCCAGGGUGUCCCCACAAGGCCCUGGACACCCCAGGAUGUCCCCAGGCCCAGCCGGGUGAGCCCCAGCGCUCCCAGCUCCGUCCAGGGUGGCCCCGUGGAGGGCCAGACCCCACCCGAGGCCAGGCCAGGGGCCCCCCGAGGUCCUGGGUCUGUCCGGGGGUCCUUGUGAUGACCUGGACCCGCAGAAGGUCCAUCCAGGGGCUCCAGGGCCCACCCCAGAACGUCCCCUGGGGCCACCAGAUCCAUUCAGGAGCUCCUGGAUCCAUCCAGGACGUCCCCACCGAGGCCUGGAGCGUGCACGAGGUCUGUCCAGGUGAUCCCCAGAUCCAUCCAGGAGCCCCUGAGACGCCCCAGCUCCAUCCCGGGGCUCCCGUGUCCCCCCGUGGGCGUCCCCAGCGUGUCCGUGGCUCGGAGCCGGAGCUCCUCGGCCACCUCGGAGCCACUCCUGGGUCACUGCUCCCAGGUCACCGUGUCCGUGUCCCUGGAGCUCCUUGGUCACCCCGGAGCCGCCGUCGGGCUCCCCCCGGGCCGCCCCCAGCCCGCGGCUCAGAGCUUGAGCUCGUUGGCCACCUUGGAGGCGAUGUUCUUGAAGGCCAUGGAGGUGCCGGCGAUGCGCUUGAAGCGGACGCCGUUGAGCGAGAGGCGCGGCAGCUUGCACACCUCCAUCUCCCACUGCACGAAGGAGUCGUGGCCGGGCGCGCCGUGGGCGCAGAGCAGCACGAAGCGCUCCUGGGGCUCGCAGCGGCAGCUGUUGGCGUCCAGCACCUUGCGGAUCUCGCGCAGCAUCUCCCCGGGCUCCAGAGAGCUCGUGGUCUUCAUGCUCCAGGUGAAACGCAGCGAGCGCGGCUUGGCGUCGCGGCCGCCGGCGUCGCGGGGGUCCUUGUCGGGGCCCACGGCGGGUCUGG